rnacentral:rRNA from 1 species
UACGGAGGGGCUAGCGUUGUUCGGAAUUACUGGGCGUAAAGCGCACGUAGGCGGCUUUGCAAGUCAGAGGUGAAAGCCCGGGGCUCAACCCCGGAAUAGCCUUUGAGACUGCAUCGCUUGAACAUCGGAGAGGUAAGUGGAAUUCCGAGUGUAGAGGUGAAAUUCGUAGAUAUUCGGAAGAACACCAGUGGCGAAGGCGACUUACUGGACGAUUGUUGACGCUGAGGUGCGAAAGCGUGGGGAGCAAACAGG